CCAGCGGUAGUUCCUCUCAGUUGGCAUGCAUGUGAUAAUUGAGGACUUCUGUGCUUUCUGGAACAAUACAAUGUUCUGUACUGGUACUGUAGCCAUUUCUCUAAGAAGCCUUGGUUCCUGUAACUGGAGAAUAGUAUAUGAAAAUCAAGAUAAUUGGACUAUCAGUGCUUAUUCCUACCAGAAUGACAUUGCUUGAAACCCUUUCAAUGGACAGAGACACUAUAUAUAUAGUAUAUGUCAUUUUGAAAAUCAUGAAUUUUCAUCGAUAUUUAGUCAAGAAAACUUUUCUUCUGAGCUAUUUACAGCUUUUAACAAUUGAGCAAUGUAUACACCUGUGAACAAAAUUUGGAGCAUAUUUGUUUCUCUCUACCUGAUUUCUCCAGAAUUUGGAAAUUAUUUUGCAUCCUGAGGACCAAACUUGUGGCGUGAGCAAGUAGAAGAUUCUCAUUGAAUGUUUAUUAUACUGGACCCAACGGAAGAACUUCACAAUCUGGAUGAAAAAAACUGUGUAUCACCAUCUGCCACAUGUUCUGCAUUUUAUGGGCUGAUUCUAGAAACAGCCUCUACACAUCCCCCGUUGUCCUUUUCUUCACUGUCUCAGUCAGUAAAUCUAAAGUAGAACGGUGGCGCGUGAGACAGAAAAAGAGGGUACAUUCUCUUCAGUGAAAGUUAGGUAGUAAAAUAAUUUAUUGUAAUCCAGGUAGGGUUACAGAAUUUACUCAACACAAGUCAGGCUCUGAAAAGUUGUAUGAAGAAUCAUGAAAAAAGGCAUUUUUAAUAAA